UUUUUAAUGCGUUAUCUCUAUAUUGAAUCAAUUUUGGGAUUAAUCCAAUGGAUUUUCUCUCAUCAGUAGAGAAUUCAUAAGAAAUAAACAAAAUAAUACA